rnacentral:rRNA from 1 species
AGUGGCGGACGGGUGAGUAACGCGUGGGUACCGUGCCUCAUACAGGGGAGUAACAGUUAGAAAUAGACUGCUAAUACCGCAUAAGACCACAGCACCGCAUGGUGCAGGGGUAAAAACUCCGGUGGUAUGAGAUGGACCCGCGUCUGAUUAGGUAGUUGGUGGGGUAACGGCCUACCAAGCCGACGAUCAGUAGCCGACCUGAGAGGGUGACCGGCCACAUUGGGACUGAGACACGGCCCAA